UACGGGGGGGGCAAGCGUUGUUCGGAAUUACUGGGCGUAAAGGGCUCGUAGGUGGCCAACUAAGUCAGACGUGAAAUCCCUCGGCUUAACCGGGGAACUGCGUCUGAUACUGGAUGGCUAGAGUUUGGGAGAGGGAUGCGGAAUUCCAGGUGUAGCGGUGAAAUGCGUAGAUAUCUGGAGGAACACCGGUGGCGAAGGCGGCUUACUGGUCCGGUACUGACGCUGAGGUGCGAAAGCGUGGGGAGCAAACAGG
rnacentral:rRNA from 1 species